rnacentral:rRNA from 1 species
CUACGUAGGGAGCAAGCGUUGUCCGGAAUUACUGGGUGUAAAGGGAGCGUAGGCGGGAUAGCAAGUCAGGUGUGAAAACUAUGGGCUCAACCCAUAGAUUGCACUUGAAACUGCUGUUCUUGAGUGAAGUAGAGGUAAGCGGAAUUCCUAGUGUAGCGGUGAAAUGCGUAGAUAUUAGGAGGAACACCAGAGGCGAAGGCGGCUUACUGGACUGUAACUGACGUUGAGGCUCGAAGGCGUGGGGAGCAAACAGGAUUAGAUCCCCUGGUAGUCCACGCGGUAAACGAUGAUCACUAGGUGUUGGCACGCAUAGCGUGUCGGUGCCGCAGCAAACGCAAUAAGUGAUCCACCUGGGGAGUACGUUCGCAAGAAUGAAACUCAAAUGAAUUGGCGGGG